rnacentral:piRNA from 1 species
UGGAAGUUCUUAGCCUUGGCUACUA